rnacentral:lncRNA from 1 species
GUGAGUGACAACAUGAGGCUCAAUAAACUGUACCUUUUAUUCUUUAACCAAGAGAGUGCAAUGAGAGUAAUAAAAAAGUUCUCAGCGUUGCAGAGAGCACAUAAAAGUGGGCUGCAGUAUUGAUUCCACCAGAAUCAAUCUGGAUCUUGAUCCAGACCAGGAUCAAGAUCAAGGAUAGACCUGGGUACUCAGGACUCCUCCAGCACUCCUCCUGCUAGCUGUCAUUGUUCUGGGCACAUUUGCUGAUUCCUCUGAGGAUUAAGAGUUGGAUGUCAGUGUAUUCAGACACAUUCUGACUUUAUUCCUCACCAAUUCAUUAAAAAUGAUCAGUUGAUACAUAAGGAUCCUUUCUGCAGAAGAAAAGAAGUCAGAUCAAGAUACUGGGAGAAUGAAGUCUUCUCUUUGCCAAAACUCUGACCUGGGCAUCUCUUCCAACUUUCCUACUCGAUGUGGACCAGAACAUUCUUGUCCAGCAUUACUAAACCCUUGCUGGAUAUGAUUGUCUAGUCUGAUGUUAAAUUCACAAGUCUAUUUGGCUUUCUCACCAAGCCAUAUCUUCUGUGGUGUUCCUUAAAAGCAAUAAACAUACAUUGGUGUAGAUAUGCUCUUCCUUUGCUUUUUUCUUAAUUUUUCAGGAUAAUAGAGUAGGUGUCCAUUCAUACUUUUAGCAGGAAUUGUGAAAUUUUUAAUGAAAGUUGGACCUUAUCAAAUACUUUUGCAACAUCGACUAGAGAUAAUUUAAUUAUCUCUCUUUUUUUGUUUUGUUACUCUUUUCACAAAUAGACACCAAUGUGGGGCUUAAUAAAUCAUUUUUGCAUUAAAUUAUAAUUAAAUGUUUAAAUGUUUAUGAGUAAAUGGAGUUAUCAUAAAAAGUAAUAGUAGUGUUUACUCUUCUUACUAUAUAUUUUCAGAUACGAUUGUUAAAAGUAAGUCCUUUUUAAAUCAUAUUAAUUAAAGCUACCAGUGAGGAACAUCAGUGGGGGUGUGGCUCCUAUUCAGGUUUUAGCUGUUAAAAAUAUUUUCCAUUACCACCAAAUAUAGAAUCAGAAAAUGUCUUGAGAAAGCAAUCAACAUAUCGUAGAUCACUGUAUAGAAAACAUAAGUUAUAGUUUCCAGGGUGUAUAAGAACAUCAUGGAGCAUGAAGAUGUUACCAACUAAAUGUAUAUGAAUAUACAAUUUUAAAUAUUUAUAUUUGAUGAAAGAGUAGAUUCAGAUUAAUGCCCUAAUGUUUUUAUGUACUAAACAUAACCUUACGGAUUUAUUUUCCAAAGACUAACAUAAAAAUUAAAUAUGCAUUUAAAAUGAUUUUUAAUGCAGCAUCAUAAGGCAAUGACCUGAAAGUGGGAGCAAGAAGACAUAGCUUUGAAGAGUUAUACAAAUGUGACAAUUCUGAAAAUAAGUUGAGGUGUUUAAAAGUAUAGAUGCUAGAGAUGGAUAAAUCUAUAUAUGAAUGUCAGCUUUAGAACAUAUUAGCUGUGUGACUUUGGAAAUAUUACUUAACCUCUGUGAGCCUCAGUUUCCUUGUCUGCAAAAGGAAAAGAAAAAUAGAAAGCACCAUACCACCAUCAAGUUUGCUGUAAGAGAUACAUGUAAAGUGUUAACAUAGAUACCUGGAAUAUAACAAAUUUUC